UACGUAGGGUGCGAGCGUUGUCCGGAAUUAUUGGGCGUAAAGAGCGUGUAGGCGGCCAAGUAGGUCCGUUGUGAAAACUGGAGGCUUAACCUCCAGCUGUCGAUGGAAACCAUUUGGCUAGAGUCCGGAAGAGGAGAGUGGAAUUCCUGGUGUAGCGGUGAAAUGCGCAGAUAUCAGGAAGAACACCCGUGGCGAAGGCGGCUCUCUGGGACGGUACUGACGCUGAGACGCGAAAGCGUGGGGAGCGAACAGG
rnacentral:rRNA from 1 species